ACUCGCUCCACUCAAGGUUACGUCCUGUCUGAAGUUGAGAACUGAUGACUGUCACCGCGGCGGGUGAAAUGUGGCGGAGUCCGGGAGGAAAAAUGACCAUUGUCUCUACUGGCGUGAACGCGUGAACGUGUGAAAUGACGGAGGGAGGACUCGCCGCGGCCCGGCGGACGUUUAUCACCGCCGAACCACCGCUUUGUGUCGGCGGCUCAGAGCCGGGGGUCAGAGGUCAGCCGGCCGCGACACAGACGCGGGAAGGUCGGGCCGCGCGACCCGCGCUUGGCCCCCGACACCGCCGUUGCCGUGGCAACGGCGCUGCAGACAAACACGAUGUCGGCGGACGGCGAGAGGCCACAGAACAACGCGGCGCUCGCUCGCGGGAGGGAAAAGAAGACGUUUACUGCGCCCGAUGCGCCGAAAACAACACAGAUAAUUCGAAAGAGCCUCAUUAUCAAAGUCUGCUCUCGCGCGCGUGUAGUUCUAAACUUUCUGCGCGGCGGAGAGUUAAAGAAGAAGAAAGAACCUCGUCUAUGCCCCAGUUCUCCCUUUAGACGACACGCUGAAGGCUGGAAACCAACUGGAGCCAGGAGGGAAACGGAGCAUUUUGCAUGUUCUGUAAAUGGACAUGACAGAUUUAUUUCUCAGUAAAGAUAAACCCAGUGAA